rnacentral:lncRNA from 1 species
UAACAGUAAACUUGCCUUCUUACUCGCUUACCAAUACCUUUGGGGGUCCAUAAGGAUCCCCCAUACGCGUGGAUCCAAUAUCCAAUUUAUCAUUUAAUUGACUGUUCUCAUAUCCCAUUCGAUAAUUGGUGUCAAACAUACCACCGCCUCAAUACCAUGUCCGGUAUGAUGGUGAACUAUACCUCUUAACCUCUUCUGGUAUGGAAUUUCUUAGCUCUGUUCGACUAAGAUAAUGUCCACAGUAGAGUUUUUUCUAUGCACUUGGUCUGUACACUGUUCUCCAAGGUACUCAAUAAACCUUCAUACAUAUAUCCACAUUAUUAAUCAAUCACCAAUUACAUACCAACAUUUCAUAUUUACAGAUCAAUAGUAAGUUAUGCAAAUAAACAACAUAAAAAAUAAAAAAAAAACAUGAUUAGAACAUUUGUUUCGAAUAAGUCAAUAGGUGAGAAUAAUCAGCCAAGUAAUCAAUGAACGAGAAAGUAAUUUAAAUCAAUAAAUAAUAGCAAUUUAGGUAGUAUAGGAAUAAAUAGACAACACAACUAGGACAAAUAUACACUAACCGAUUCUGACUCCAUUGAUGACUUGUAAUUAAGUUAAAAAUUUUAAUUUUUAUAAACACACUAUUAUUAAUUAUUAAAAUUUAAUUUACUGCAAUAGGAGAAAAGAGUGAGGGAUUCUUACAUUAGAUCGGUAUUCAAAAUAUCGUUUUUUUCAAUGCGCUUCCUAGCAGUCUUCAAGUUUCCUGAGUUUUUUCUGCAAAAAUUAAAAACACAUGUUACGUAUUUUAAAAUACCCCAAAAAGGCCAAAAUGAGCACUUUUAAAUUUUUCUGGCCAGUUUAGGGUUCCGGCACUGCAGUGCCAUUGAGCUCCGGUGUAGGCUCCGCCGCCCACGAUGACAUUUUCUCUCGGCCUAGCCGUUUUUAGCCAGUUUUGGCCGGUUUUGCAUGCAAAACCUGUAAAAAAUAGGAUUAGGGAGCCUUUUUUGGUUUGAAAAGGGAAGAACCGAAACCCUAACCAGUAGAGGAAUUUUCUGGUGCGGCAGCUCCAUCGUUCCUUUCUUACGGUCGGGGCUUCCCUUCAGUUAACCCGCAAUAGAAUGAUACAAGGAACACGAAGGUCAAAAAAAUGAGAGAAACGGAAAACAGGAAGGAGCUCAUUGGAGGACAUUUUAGGUUGCGGUCGCAAUGGCUCGGUCGAGUUCUGCUCGCAUUUUUUGGCUCAUCUUUUGGCUUUUGGCUCCGAUAUGGGUGUGGGGACGUUCAAAAUUCAAUUUCGAACAAAAAGAGAAAUUAUUUUUACCUUUUCAGCAUUGGUGGUGGCUUUGGUGCAGCGGCGACAGUGGCUAGUCUUCUUUUCUGGCGACUGAUUCGAUUUUCAGCCACCCCACUGUUUCUUCUCUGAUCUUCUCUUUGGCAGCUAGGGUUAGGGUUUCUUAUGAAGGGGAGUUUAAAUACUCAUCUUCAUUAAAUCUAGAUCGUCCGUUCGAGGAGACGUGACCCAUCCUCAACUAUUUGAUCGCUCUUAUUUGAAAAAUUAAUAUGUGCUGCACGAUUUGUUCAAAUCCAGCCGUUCGAUCGCGCCUAAAGAGAAAUCGGAUCUGGGUCAUCCGUGUGCACAAAAUGCGAUCUGGGUCGUUGGAUCUGCUGGCACGCAAAUCGCGUGCGUGGCCUCUCACAUGGACGCGUGUUUAUGUGUCUGCCAUGCGGCGCGCGGAGACCAACCACAUCGAUGACAUGGUAGUCCAUGUGGGCAAAAUUUUAUUAAUUUUGUUUUCGCUCCAAUUUUUCAGAUUUCUUUUCAACUAGGUCCUCCUUUAUCUAUACUUUAGUCUUGAUUUUUGAAAAUAUUUUUAAAUGCAUCCCAAAUCCUAAUUUUCUUAAAAAAUUAAAAUUAAAAUUAUUUUAAUAUAUUAUUCCAUAUAUAUUAAAUUAUUUCGGGCCAAAUUUUGGGGUCUGAGUGUUACAAUUCUCCCCCUUUAAGAAAAAAAUUUGGUCUCUCAAAUUUGUCACUUUCUCACUGGUCAAACAGUUGGGUUACUGGAUCCUGAAGUCUGAUUUUAACUCUCAAGUGUCCUCAUCGUUCAAGUGAUUCUGUCAUAAGAUCUUGACGAAUAAAAUUUCUCUGUUGUGAAGCACUCUGCUCUUCCACUCGAAAAACAGUUACUGGUACUUCCUCAUAGGAUAGAUCCCUCCUAAAGUGAAAAGUGGCUCAUGAGACAAGAUAUGUGAGGGGUUUUGGAUUGUACUUGCGUAUCAUAAACGCAUGGGAAUAUAUUAUGGACUUCAGAUAACUCUGGAGGNNNNNNNNNNNNNNNNNNNNNNNNNNNNNNNNNNNNNNNNUACUGGGUCGUCGUAUAAUGUCUGAAUGGAGUCAUGUGAUACUUGCUUGAUAAUUAUUAUGUAGGCAUACUCUAUCAGGGGUAAGUGAUCGUUGCAAUGCCCUUCGAAAUUUAGAAUACAGGCCUUGAGCAUAUCCUCCAGUGUGCAAAUAGUUCGUUCUGAUUGUCCAUCUGUUUGAGGGUGAAAUGUUUUGCUGAGGGACAAUUUUGUUCCCAUUACUUGCUGAAAACUUGAUCAAAACCGAGAGGUGAACUUAGGGUCCUUGUCUAAUACCACUGUCACUGGAACUCCAUGUGGUCUGACUAUCUCCCGGAUAUAGAUUCUUACUAGCUUGUCUAAGGGGUUGGUCAUUUUGAUAACCAAGAAGUGAGAGGAUUUGGUGAGUCGGUCAACAAUUAUCUAGAUUGCAUCAUGCCCUGAGAGUACCUUACGUAAUCAUGUUACAAAAUUCAUAGUGAUAUAUUCCAAUUUCCAUUCCAGUAUUGGAAACGGCUGAAGUAGUCUACUUGAACAUUGAUGAUCUGCCUUAACCUACUGACAUACAAGACACUUGCAGACAAAAUCGAAAAUUUUUCUUCUCAUACUAUUCUACCAGAAUCGGAGUCGCAUGCUUUGAUACAUCUUAGUACUUCCAGGAUGUACAAUAAACUUUAAACUGUAAAACUUUGUCUUGAUAUCCCCUUUUUAUUUCACUGUCAUUUGGAACACACACUCUGUCCUGAAACCUGAGCAACCUAUUAGUAGAGACUCAAAAUUCUCGAUUUACACCUUGUUCUGUAUCUUUUCCAAGAGCUACUAGAGUAGCAUCAAUCAGUUAGGCUUUUUUUAUCCCUUGAAUCAAUUUAGGUUGAACAACUAAAUGGGCCAAGCAUGUGGCCCUUUUCAAAUCGUGAACCUGUAUCUGUUGCAUAGCCUUUAUUACCCUACAUUCAAAAACUAAUACGUGAGCUAACAUACCCGUACUUUUUCUGCUGAGUGCGUUGGCUACCACAUUGUCAUUGCUUGGGUGAUAUAAAAUCUUACAAUCGUAGUCUUUGAGGAGCUCUAUCCAACGCCUUUGAUGCAUGUUGAGAUCCUUCUAAGUGAAUAUAUAAUUCAAGCUCUUAUGGUCUAUAUAAAUCUCAAAAUUCUUCCCAUACAAGUAGUGGUGCCACGUCUUCAAGGCGUUGAUAAUAAUAGCAAGUUCUAAGUCAUGGGUGGGGUAAUUCUUUUCAUGACUUUUCAACUUUCUGCACCCAUAAACUAUGACUUUUUCGUGCUGUAUUAGAAUACAGCCCAACCCUAAGUAGGAAACAUUAUUGUACAUUGUGUAUCAACCUGUCCUAUUCGGUAGAGUUAAAACUAACGCGGUAGUCAAUUACUUCUUAAGUUCUGUAAAGCUCAUUUUAUAGUCAUUAUUUUGCUCAAACUUGAUGUUCUUCUUCGUAAACUGGGUCAAGUGGGCGGUUAGGCUUGAAAACCAUUCCAUAAACUUACGGUAAUAAUCUGUCAUCCCUAAAAAGCUAUGAAUCUCUUUAACUGAAGUCAAUUUCUCCUAACUAAUUACUGUCUCAACCUUCUCGAGAUUCACUGACACCCCAUCCUUUGAUAUUAUGUGCCUUAGGAAGAUAGUCUGCUCAAGUUAAAAUCCACACAUGCUCAAUUUUGUAUAUAGCUUCUUUUCUCAGAGAACCUGUAAAACUGGAGUCAAGUGCUGAGCGUAUUCCUCUCUAUUUUUUGAAUAGAUCAGGAUAUCAUCAAUAAAUAUUAUAAUGAACUGAUUUAAGAACUACCUGAAAACCUUAUUCAUCAAGUCCAUAAAAAUGGCUGGUGCAUUGGUUAACCCAAAUGGUAUGAACAUGAACUCAUAGUGUCCAUACUGGGUUUUAAAGGUCGUCUUAAGAUGUUCUCUGCUAUGAUUUUUACCUGAUGGUAAUCUGAACACAAGUCAAUCUUGGAGAAACCCUAAGCACCCUGUAAUUGCUUGAAAAGAUCAUCGAUCUUUGGGAGAUGGUACUUGUUCUUGAUUAUGAUCUUGUUCAACCCCCUGUAGUCAAUACGUAACCUCAAGGACCCAUCCCUUUUUCUUACAAAUAUGACUCUGGUACCCCAACUAAAUAUAUUAUAUCGGAUGAACUCGCUAUCCUACAAUUGCUUGAUCUGGUUUUUCAGUUCUUCCAUCUCAACAUGACUCAUACGGUAAAGGGCAACUGAAAUGGGCUGGGUGCCAUACUGAAGAUCUAUGGUAAAUUCAACUUUCAUAUUCGCCGGCAGUCCGGCUAAUUCAUCAGGAAAUACAUCUGAAAAUUUUCGACCAUAGAAAUCUUUUGAAUGCAAAUUUCUUAGGCUUGCCCUAUACCAUGUCUAGGUUGGCUUAAGCAUCUUAUUGGGUGAGGGUGUAGAUUCUGCCUUGAAUUGGAGAUCUAGCCUGAUUCUGAUUUCGCGGGCACUUUAUCACGUAGUGCUGGACACUUCCACAUGUGCGGCAGGUAUUGUUAAGGUGAUAGUAGAGUUGGUCCCCAUGAUCUUUACCACAAUGCUGACAAGUCAUGUUGUAUCUUGUUGUUGGGAACUGAGAAAAAGCUUGAGUUGUAGGCCUAAGUCUCUUAUUCUGCUAAAUCGGUACAGUAGGUGCUGGCCUGUAGUGUGGAACCGAGGGUCUGAAAUUGCCCACUACUGGAGGAAAGAUGCGAAGGUUUCUCUCUAUCAGUUAUGCCUUGGCUAGAACUAUUGAGUAGGUGCUGAGCUCGAAUACAUAUAGUUGUUGUUUGAUCUCAAGAUAGAGGCCUCACUUAAACUUUCUUGCCUUUUUGUAUUCGUCCAUUAUGCUCUCAGGAGAAUAUCGGACCAACUCUAAAAAUUUUUGGACAUACUCAGACAUUGUCAUCUCACCAUGGAUUAGAUAUGCAAACUUCAUCUCCUUCAAAUGUCGAAGAUGCUCUAGGAGAUACUCUACAUUGAAAGCUACUGGGAACUGUUCCUAACUGACCGAAAUGGAUAGGGUCACUUGCUUCAACUGCCACCAAUAACCUGCCUCACCCAUGAGCAUGUAGGUAGCAAGUAUGAUCUUUUGUUUGGGAACCACCCUAAGAAAUACAAAUGCCUUUUUUGUCUAUAUUAACCAAUAUUCGGCAUCUCUGAAAGUAGAUGCCCCUACAAAAGUAGAUGGGUUAAGUCUUUUGUACUUCUUAAUGUAGCUUGAGUCCAUCACGGGCAGAACUGGGUCCUAUUGAAAAGGGACUAGACUAUGCUAGGAAGUGGUUGGGUGGCCCUGUUGCGGCACCUGGUUGUAUGAUGGGGGCACCGGAUUAUACUGUGGCGGUGUCAGAUGAUACGAUGGAGGAGCAGAGUUGUACCGGGAUGGCAUUGGAUCUUCUCAUUGUAGGGGUGGCUCAUACUGUGGCAGUGAUGGAUGCUCAGGCAGCUCCCUCCUCUCUUUCCGAGCCUGCUGAGUAUAGAUAAGUCUCUCUAGUAUCUCGAAGAGCCGAUCGACAUCCUCUCGAAGCGACCCAUCCCAGACUGCCUUGUUUAGUGGGGUCUUCCUCU